rnacentral:lncRNA from 1 species
CUGAAUCCAACGGUGCCCUCGGAAUUCCAUUUCGAGCACCGGAACCUCGUUUGUUGACCAAAGUCAACUCUUGAUCAAAAUUUCACAAUUUUUGCAACUUAGGACCUCAAAUCUUCGUUUUAACUCCAAAUUCGACUCCGUAAAUUCUCAUAGACCCGUUUCAACAUUCUAAAACUGCUGGAAUCGACGGAAAUCCGAUUCGAGUCUCGAAACUCCAAAUGACUCGAAAUAGCACUUUUAACCAAACUUUAACUCUUAAAAACUCAACUUUCCAAAAACUCAACUUUUCAUCAAUUUUCCUCCAAACCAACUUCGAAAAUACAACCAUUAGGACUCGGGGCAACUAUCGGGAGGGGUA